UGUUCUGUCUUAUUUCUCCGCUCAUCUCUUUACGUCCGGACCUUAUGGUUUACUGAACUUCGUCGUAGUCUGCUUGGUGCAGAUCCACAGACAAAAGGAUAAGUCUUUGUCUCAAGAUUUCUGGUUAGCUUGCGGCUAACCAAGAGUAAAGAAGCUCUCUUUCCUCCUUGCUUCGUCUCCAGCACUGCUGCUCAGCAACAGCUGUUGACGCCAUGUAAUCUGCUCAGAGCGGAAACACCGAACCAAACUCUCUCUCUCUCUUACCACAGCUGCAGGAGCCUGCGUAAGAUUUCUGCAACAAAGUUUAGCAAAAACGGCUGCCUCACGGAGUCUGCCAGCGAACUUUAUGAACUGACUUUGAAGAGAACCACAGACGGAGCUACCAGGUUCCCCAUCUGCACAACGGACUGCACAGCACGGUUUUCUUCAAUCAGAAGCAAAAUUCCUCCCUGCCUGGCUCAUCCAAUGGAACCGCAAGAUAACAGCACCAUGUUCAAAGCAAGUGUUCUUCCUUUACAGACUGGUAGGCAAUUUGAGGACCACAAGGGAAUGGUGGACUCUGUCACUAACAAUGGAAACCACUACAGAGGACCAUGGAUAGUGCCAAAGAAGGAAAAUGAGGGAAGAAGAAGGAAGAUGUUUCUUCACACUAGUUAUCAUCUUCUUGAUAAUAUCAUUAAUGAGAUUACCUGAUUAAAUAAAGGUUAUAUAUAAAUAUAAACUGUAUAUAUCUUUGUUCAAAAAUGUUAAUAUGACUUAAGUUAAGAAUUCUUCUACCAACCAUUGUUGGGUCGUCAUACUUGGUGAGAAAAAAAAAUAUGAUAAGGAUCUCAACCUGUUCUCAGCCUUGUGUAUACAGGACAAGGUUUUAAAACAAAAAGAAAAGAAAAACAAACUAACACAAAAACACACACAUACAGAACAUAAAGGCAAUACAAAUAAAAUUACUUUCAUUGAGCAAAGAUUGGUCUUGAUGAAUACAAUUUCAGUUCUCAGGAACAACUGUCAAACUUUGAAUGCAAUACCUGAGGAGGACAAUCUCAGGUUAUUCCUGGGAGAAUUGGAUCCUAAAAUCUAUUGACUCUGUUCAUUAGUAAUUCAGUGUCUAGCUUACAGCAUCUGCAGCAUCAUUUCAGAAGAACAGUCGAGGAAAGUGUACAGCUGGAGCAGUAAUUCUGUGUCUUUUCUUUCUGGCCUGCCUGUCAAUAGCCACACCACCUGUCACCGGGGGUUGCUACAUCUGUCAAAUACCAUUUUCUGUUGCUUAAGCAUUAACCAAUUUCAAUUCAGUAUUCAAUACAAUAACUUUAUUCAUCCCCAGUGGGGCAGUUAAAAAGUCAACAUCCGCAAUAUCUGGUUCAUCGGCUAUUAAUAAUCUUUCUAUAUGAAUAAAAUUAAAACUAAAUCAGUAAUUUUUUUGCAGCAAAGAACCUCUCAUAGCUAACAAGAAAGACAACAAUAUUUUAUACUCACAGCAAGAGUUCAUUUAAGGUGCACUGCACAGUAUGCAAAAGAAUAGAGAGAUAACAUCAGGACAUCAAAGUCAUGCA